GACGAACGCUGGCGGCGUGCUUAACACAUGCAAGUCGAGCGGAGCGGCGAACGGGUGAGUAACGCGUGAGUAACUGCCCCCCUCUCUGGGAUAACAGUUGGAAACGGCUGCUAAUCCCGGAUAGUGGGGGAUGACUCGCGUCCUAUCAGCUUGUUGGUGGGGUAGUGGCCUACCAAGGCGACGACGGGUAGCCGGCCUGAGAGGGCGACCGGCCACAAUGGGCUGAGAGACGGGCCAAUCUCCUACGGGGGGCAGCAGGGGGGAAUAGUGCGCAAUGGGGGAAGCCCUAAUGCAGCAACGCCGCGGGCGGGAUGAAGGCGUUCGGGUUGUAAACCGCUUUCAGCCAUGACGCGGUGGUGGCAGAAGAAGCACCGGCUAACUACGUGCCAGCAGCCGCGGUAAUAC
rnacentral:rRNA from 1 species